GUGAGGCGAGGGGCCGGGGCUGCGGCCGGGCGGCGACGCUCGGGGCCGGCGGUUUCCCAGGCGAUGGGUGGGGAGAGGAGGAGGAGGAGGAGGAAGAGGAGGAGGAGGGGUCCUCGCGGCUUUAUCUCCCACCCGGCUCCGCCCGCCGUCGGCUGUCUCCCGUGACCGCAAGCGCACCGGCGGGCGCAGCGCGGGCAGGGCAGCGCCCAUGGGCUGCGGCAACUCCACGGCCGGCAGCGCGGGCGGGCGAGAGCAGAAGAAUCCAUAUCAGAUGAUGACAAAAGGAGGUAGGUGCUCUGCUCAACCAGGGUUAGCUUUAUUUGCAAUAGGCUGCAGCG
rnacentral:lncRNA from 1 species